UAAGCAUAUCAAUAAGCGGAGGAAAAGAAACCAACAGGGAUUGCCCUAGUAACGGCGAGUGAAGCGGCAACAGCUCAAAUUUGAAAUCUGGCUCUUUCAGAGUCCGAGUUGUAAUUUGCAGAGGGCGCUUUGGCGUUGGCAGCGGUCCAAGUUCCUUGGAACAGGACGUCACAGAGGGUGAGAAUCCCGUACGUGGUCGCUGGCCUUCGCCGUGUAAAGCCCCUUCGACGAGUCGAGUUGUUUGGGAAUGCAGCUCUAAAUGGGAGGUAAAUUUCUUCUAAAGCUAAAUACUGGCCAGAGACCGAUAGCGCACAAGUAGAGUGAUCGAAAGAUGAAAAGCACUUUGGAAAGAGAGUCAAAUAGCACGUGAAAUUGUUGAAAGGGAAGCGCUUGCAGCCAGACUUGCCUGUAGUUGCUCAUCCGGGCUUUUGCCCGGUGCACUCUUCUGCGGGCAGGCCAGCAUCAGUUUGGGCGGUUGGAUAAAGGUCUCUGUCAUGUACCUCUCUUCGGGGAGGCCUUAUAGGGGAGACGUCAUACAACCAGCCUGGACUGAGGUCCGCGCAUUUAUGCUAGGAUGCUGGCGUAAUGGCUGUAAGCGGCCCGUCUUGAAACACGGACCAAGGAGUCUAACAUCUAUGCGAGUGUUUGGGUGUCAAGCCCGAACGCGUAAUGAAAGUGAACGGAGGUGGGACCCCAUUAGGGUGCACCAUCGACCGAUCCUGAUGUCUUCGGAUGGAUUUGAGUAAGAGCAUGGCUGUUGGGACCCGAAAGAUGGUGAACUAUGCUUGAAUAGGGUGAAGCCAGAGGAAACUCUGGUGGAGGCUCGCAGCGGUUCUGACGUGCAAAUCGAUCGUCAAAUUUGGGCAUAGGGGCGAAAGACUAAU
rnacentral:rRNA from 1 species